rnacentral:rRNA from 1 species
GGGAGUAACUAUUGGAAACGAUAGCUAAUACCGCAUAACAAUGGAUGACACAUGUCAUUUAUUUGAAAGGAGCAAUUGCUCCACUACAAGAUGGACCUGCGUUGUAUUAGCUAGUAGGUGAGGUAAUGGCUCACCUAGGCGACGAUACAUAGCCACCUGAGAGGGUGAUCGGCCACACUGGGACUGAGACACGGCCCAG